UGAGGAAUAUUGCUCAAUGGGCGCAAGCCUGAAGCAGCGACGCCGCGUGGGUGAUGAAGGUUUUCGGAUCGUAAAGCCCUUUUCUCAGUGACGAGGAAGGACGGUAACUGAGGAAUAAGUGUCGGCUAACUACGUGCCAGCAGCCGCGGUAAAACGUAGGACGCAAGCGUUAUCCGGAAUUACUGGGCGUAAAGCGCGCGCAGGCGGGUUGUUAAGUCAGUCGUGAAAGCUCCCGGCUAAACUGGGAGAGGUCGAAUGAAACUGACAAUCUGGAGCAAGACAGAGGCGAGUGGAAUUCCGCGUGUAGUGGUGAAAUGCGUAGAUAUGCGGAGGAACACCAGAGGCGAAGGCGGCUCGCUGGGUCUUGACUGACGCUGAGGCGCGAAAGCAUGGGUAGCGAACGGGAUUAGAUACCCCCGUAGUCC
rnacentral:rRNA from 1 species